UGUGGCGCUGCAGUGGAGGCGCUUCUCCGACAACAUGUCCCAUCUACCCAUGAAACUGCUGCACAAGAAAAUCAAGAAACGGAACCUCAAAUUGCGCCAGCGAAACUUAAAGCUCCAGGAGGCUUCGGAUGUGAGCUUAUCGGAAACCCAAAAUGGAGAUGUGUCUGAAGAAACAGUGGGAGGUUGGAAGGUUAAAAAAUCCCUAAAACAGUCUGUGAAUGUGGGCUCAUCAGAAGCCCAGAAUGGAGAGAGAGCUAAAGAAACCGUGGAAACUGUACAAGUUAAAAAAAAAAAAAAAAAGAAAUCUACCAUAAUAAUCAAUGGAGAAGCAGCAACACAGCCUCCCAAUUCAGAAUCCAAAAAAAAGAAGAAGAAAAAGAGAAAAAUGGUGGAUGAUGCUGGGCCUGAUACCAAAAAAGCAAAAACUGAAGACAAAGGGGACUCUGAAGAAGGGGCCCAAGCUCCUGAAGAGACAGAACACAGUGUGCAGAAGCCAGAUGAGCAGGAAGAGGACAGUGAAGUGCCCAGCCUACCCCUGGGACUGACAGGAGCUUUUGAGGAUACUUCAUUUGCUUCUCUUAGUAAUCUUGUCAAUGAGAACACUCUGAGGGCAAUAAAAUAGAAAUGGGUUUUACAAACAUGACUGAAAUUCAGCAUAAAAGUAUCAGACCACUUCUGGAAGGCAGGGAUCUUCUAGCAGCCGCAAAAACAGGCAGUGGCAAAACGCUGGCGUUUCUUAUCCCUGCAGUUGAACUCAUUGUCAAGUUAAAGUUCAUGCUUAGGAAUGGAACUGGAGUUCUUAUCCUCUCACCUACUAGGGAACUGGCCAUGCAGACUUUCGGUGUUCUUAAGGAGCUGAUGACGCACCAUGUCCACACAUACGGGUUGAUAAUGGGCGGCAGCAACAGAUCUGCUGAAGCACAGAAACUCGGUAAUGGGAUCAACAUCAUUGUGGCCACCCCAGGCCGCCUCCUGGACCACAUGCAGAAUACCGCAGGGUUUAUGUAUAAAAAUCUGCAGUGUCUGGUUAUUGAUGAGGCUGAUCGUAUCUUGGAUGUUGGGUUUGAAGAGGAAUUAAAACCAGAUUAUUAAACUUCUGCCAACACGCAGGCAAACCAUGCUCUUUUCUGCCACACAAACUCGAAAAGUUGAAGACUUGGCAAGGAUUUCUUUGAAAAAGGAGCCAUUGUAUGUUGGUGUUGAUGACGAUAAAGCUAAUGCAACAGUGGAUGGUUUUGACCAGGGAUAUGUUAUUUGUCCCUUGGAAAAGAGAUUCCUCCUGCUCUUUACAUUCCUUAAGAAGAACCGGAAGAAGAAACUGAUGGUCUUCUUUUCAUCCUGUAAGUCUGUGAAAUACCAUCAGGAGUUGCUGAACUACAUCAAUUUGUCUGUCUUGGCCAUUCAUGGAAGGCAGAAGCAAAAUAAGUGCACAACCACAUUCUUCCAGUUCUGCAAUGCAGAUUCAGGGAUAUUGUUGUGUACCGACGUGGCAGCUAGAGGGCUGGAUAUUCCUGAAGUGGACUGGAUUGUUCAGUAUGACCCUCCAGAUGACCCCAAGGAAUAUAUUCAUCGUGUGGGAAGAACAUCCAGAGGCCUAAACGGGAGAAGGCAUGCCUUGCUCAUUUUAUGCCCUGAAGAAUUGGGUUUCCUUCAUUACUUGAAGCAAUCCAAGGUUCCAUUAAGUGAAUCUGAGUUUUCCUGGUCCAAAAUUUCUGACAUUCAGUCUCAGCUUGAAAAAUUGAUUGAAAAGAACUACUUCCUUCAUAAGUCAGCCCAGGAAGCAUAUAAGUCCUACAUUCGAGCAUAUGAUUCCCAUUCUCUGAAACAGAUCUUCAAUGUUAAUAACUUAAAUUUGCCUCAAGUUGCUCUGUUGUUUGGUUUCAAGGUGCCUCCUUUUGUUGAUCUGAACGUGAACAGCAAUGACGGCAAGCUUAAAAAGAGAGGAGGCGGUGGCGGCUUCGGCUACCAGAAAGCCAAGAAAGUCGAGAAGUCCAAAAUCUUCAAACACAUUAGCAAGAAGUCCUCCGACAGCCGGCAGUUCUCCCACUGAAGACACGCCUUCCUUUGGUCUUGAAUGGCUUUGUCCUGAAGUGGAUGUUUUCCCUUUCUCUAACAAAGGAACUGUUGUGGUUUCAGAAUUGGGACUGAUGGAACAGGAGUAUGAAUUGACGUGCGUUACAAGCACCAGGCACUGAUACUUCCAGGAGAUACCACUCUUAUUUGGGGAUGUAAAACAGAGUUCAAUUUUUCUAGGUUGUUCAAGAGCAAAGCAAGGGAUCUUUUGGAUUUUGUUAUGACGACAGAGUAUUUUAAAUCUUUGACCU